GAGUUUGAUCCUGGCUCAGGACGAACGCUGGCGGCGUGCCUAACACGUGCAAGUCGAACGAAGCACUGAGAGUUUGAGAUUUCGGUCAAGAACUUUCUUUGACUUAGUGGCGGACGGGUGAGUAAUGCGUGAGCAACCUGCCUUUCAGAGGGGGACAACAGUUGGAAACGACUGCUAAUACCGCAUGAUAUAUUCGGAUGGCAUCGUCUGAAUAUCAAAGAUUUAUCGCUGAAAGAUGGGCUCACGUCUGAUUAGUUAGUUGGUGAGGUAACGGCUCACCAAGACUGCGAUCAGUAGCCGGACUGAGAGGUUGAACGGCCACAUUGGGACUGAGAUACGGCCCAGACUCCUACGGGAGGCAGCAGUGGGGAAUAUUGGGCAAUGGGCGAAAGCCUGACCCAGCAACGCCGCGUGAAGGAAGAAGGUCUUCGGAUUGUAAACUUCUUUUAUCAGGGACGAAGUAAGUGACGGUACCUGAUGAAUAAGCCACGGCUAACUACGUGCCAGCCGCCGCGGUAAUUC
rnacentral:rRNA from 1 species